GUAAAGUAAUUACUGUGUAAAAUUAGAUUUUUUUCCUGUACUGCUCCAACAACUGGAAAGUUGAACGAUACUAUCAAGUUUAAAUUCGAUUGAAGAGUGCAAAAAAUGGGUAAAGGAAAUCAGCGUAAAUGCAGAUGCUCCAGUGGAUAGCGCGAGCUUCAAACCAAAUGCUAUUGCAAGAUUGCUUUCAGGUAUGUAUAUAUUUUCCCAUUUCAGUAAAUUUGAUAUGUUAUAUGUGCAAUAUGUGAUAUAUUGUAUUUUAACACAUAUACAGUUCAUUAACAUUUCCUAAAUUUCUAUAUAAUGUAGCAUUAAGAAAGAUGUUUUAAGAAAUAAUUUGUUUCCUUACUGUUUUAAUUUUUUCGAAAAGAAACAUCAUUUUCGAGAAACUUCAAGAAGAAAGUUAUUAGUAUGUACAGCGUAAUUUUAUUACAGCUAAAACUGAUGCAAGGCAUUGGCACAGUGAAUGGCAGCUGAAAAAUUUUGACCCUUGUUUCUGGAAGUGAAAUGUUAGAUGGUUUGAUGAAGUGCCACAGAGAUUAUCGCUUAAAGAAUGCGUGCAGGCCAACCACCAACACAAGAUAUUAAAAGA